UUCAGGAUGGCCGAGAUAUAGGCAGAAGAUUGUAGAUCUUACCACGAGUAUUUAGCUCUCUUGGUG
rnacentral:tRNA from 1 species